CACGGGGGGGAGCAAGCGUUGUUCGGAAUCACUGGGCGUAAAGGGCGUGUAGGCGGUUGCGUAAGUGGAAUGUGAAAUCCCCCGGCUUACCCGGGGACCUGCAUCCCAAACUGCGCGACUUGAGUAUGGGAGAGGAUGGAGGGAAUUCCUGGUGUAGCGGUGAAAUGCGUAGAUAUCAGGAGGAACACCGGUGGCGAAGGCGCUCAUCUGGCCCAAUACUGACGCUGAGGCGCGAAAGCUAGGGUAGCGAACGGG
rnacentral:rRNA from 1 species